GUGCUUGCUUUGGCAGCACAUACACUAAAACUGGACGGAUACAUAGAUUAGCCUGGGCCUGUUCAAGGAUGACCCACAAAUUUAUGAAGCAUUGCAUAUUUUU
ensembl:snRNA U6 U6 spliceosomal RNA